UACGUAGGGUGCAGGCGUUAAUCGGAAUUACUGGGCGUAAAGCGUGCGCAGGCGGUUGUGCAAGACAGAUGUGAAAUCCCCGGGCUCAACCUGGGAACUGCAUUUGUGACUGCACAGCUUGAGUGCGGCAGAGGGGGAUGGAAUUCCGCGUGUAGCAGUGAAAUGCGUAGAUAUGCGGAGGAACACCGAUGGCGAAGGCAAUCCCCUGGGCCUGCACUGACGCUCAUGCACGAAAGCGUGGGGAGCAAACAGG
rnacentral:rRNA from 1 species